UGAAAAGCUGAUGAUUUCUGUUAUUAUUCUUUAAAAGAAAAUGGCAACCAGGCAACCAUUUUAUCAGUUCAAUGGAAAACAAAGAUUUCUGAAGAGUAUCCUUUAACAAAUAGAACUAUUUCAAAUUUCAGGUAUGCCUAUAUGGCCUCUGAUGGCUCACCAUUUCUAUUCCAUGGAUGAUUCAAAACAUCCUACAAUAUGUUUGUAUUCUCAAAUGGGCAGCAUUCAUUACCUCAGUGUUAAUUUAUUUUCCUGUAGCAAAUUGCUUCUGGGGAAGUGCUCUCCAUCCAAUGUCCCGGCGGUAGAACCCUCCCGGCCAGUUGAUUUCCUCAACUGCCUGAUAGGCUCUAUCCCUUGCCUCUUGAAGAUGUCUUCCCUUGGCAGUAACCCCAAGCACCCGGCCCCCAGUAGCAAUGAAGUUGCCAUCUGCAUCCAAAGCAGUUCCAGCAUGAAAUAUCUGAACUGUUGGAGCAACAUUUUGAGCUUCUUCAAGGUUUCCAAUCACAGUCCCUUUCUCAUAGGAUCCAGGGUAGCCUUUACUUGCCAUUACCACCACCAUGGCGGACCCUGGGGACCAGUUCAGUGAAACUCCACUUAAUUCUCCUCUACAUGCGGCAAGCAGAACUUGUGCAAGAUCAGAUUCCAACCUAACCAUUAGAACCUGUAUAUUAAGAUGAACCAAAAGAAACCCCACAUAAAAUUUAGGUCACAACUACUUAAAUAUUAUAUUUUUUGCAGUAUUUAAGAAACAAUCACAACAACUAAAAUGUAAUUCUGUAAUUCUCAUCCAGUUUAUUGUAACAUGCAUAUAGUCUAAACCCCAAGUACAUCGAAGGCAAUAAUGUCAAUUGACAGUAUGAUCAUAAUUUGAAGAGGACACAGAAACCACAUCUCUAGUUAAAAUUUUAAUCAAGUAUUUUACACAACCUGAAUAGCAGCAACAUUCUAGCUUUGAACUCUCCUACAUAAAAUGUGGCUAACAAAACCAUGCAGCAGUGACACAAAAUUAGAUACAUGAGAUGUCAGAAGCAUGGCAGUGGACAGAAAAGUGGCACUUGAGAUCAUGCAAUAAAUAUUGUGGCCAUAAAACAUACAACUCGUACUAUUCAUAUGAAUAAGAAAGAACAAGAAUAUGAAAACAGAAAGUCAAAUUACAGAAUACUUACGAAGAUGAGGACAAGCCUCAUGGCUUUCCUCUUCAUUGUUUAUUCUCUUUUACAUAAAGAUGCAGGAUCACUACUUCAAACAGAUUUAAUCUCACUGACUAAUUUAAAUUUAGAUUUAGAUAAUCCAAGAUUUCUUCGCUAAUUGACCAAUAAUAUUAGUAAGGACCUAGAUAACUGUCUAUGUAUGAUAUGAAUUGCAAAAAAUACUAAUUUAUGCUAUAUGAGAGGUCCCAAAUUCCGUUCCUCAUUAAACUGUGUACCUAGAUACAGCACUCAUUGAAGGCCAUAGGUGACCUGAGUCUGCCAAAUACGGAUAUACCCCCAUGAGCUUUCGCAAUGCCAUUAAUUAAUUCCAUAAUAAGUAAAUUUUACCCACUCCAGCUCCCUCAAGAGAGAGAUUAUGUAAUGCAUAUUGUGGGUUUGUAACUAACCUGGCAUUCUGGAUCUCCAAACCGCACAUUAUACUCAAUUAG
rnacentral:misc_RNA from 1 species